GACUACUGGCAGGAUCAACCAGGUAGCAUUCAUUUCAACGCCUCAAUGCAUUCCAGGGACGAACGCGGAACGGGGAGGCUCCGCGAGCUCCGAGGAAAGCACGAGGGUCACCCGAGCGGAAGCAAAGCUUCGACACGUCGAGAUCGCAACGACCAACAAAGGACCGCGCGAUAACAAGAGAUAUCUCCGUACCCGAGAGCACGCGGACGGCAUCGACGCACCGACACGAGCGGAAACCCCCAGAGGACGGGACCGCCCGGACGGAAAGCGCCUAUGCCCGCACGAAGUCGCCCGACGCACACGAGGCGCGGGGGAAACGAGGGAACCUAGACAGGGACCACGAAGAAUCCAUGUACCGCGACCGGGUAUCAAGCGCAGGAACCCACCCAUCGCCCGCGACCGACCCACGGGGGAUCGGGGCGAGCGACCGAAUGAAACGGAUAGGACCGAAGCAGUUCGGUGCCAGAAGCACGGAGCCAGCCGCGGGGACAUACCCAAACCGCCACUCAUGCGUCGUCCCACCGCUGCCCGUGAGGACGUCCGACGACCCGGCGCCACCACCCAGGGGUGGAGGGGCCGGACGAACGAGGCGCACCACGAACGAGCCUGCUAGA
rnacentral:misc_RNA from 1 species